CGGUUGUUUGCGAAAACCCAUCGAUGGGUAAAAAAACACCCAUUUACGAGUACCUUGCAGAUCUGUCAAAACAUGGGUAAAAUCAAUAAUACAAAAAGAGUAAAAAAAUACCCAUGUUUGGAAACCGAUCUUCACCCCAUUAAUGGGUGAAAAAUAGUUGUAAAAGUUUGCGUUGCUACCUCGUUUGCCGUCUUCAGUCACAACGAUUCAGAAGUUAGUUUUUCCCACGUUACUGCUCUUAUCUACUUUAAUCUUUUUCACGAAUUAUGUUCCGGUUCAUAUAAAUAGUUACGUCAUGAAGAACCAGAUGCUUUGAAGAUAUCUUCAAGGCGCACUUCAAUGCUUCCGGAACGAAGUCCGCUGCAUCUGUUUUAAGCGGAUGCUUCAGACGCACAGCACGACCCAGACCAGACCAGGUUCCGAAAGCCUUGGGCCUUGCCGCAACCCUAUUAAAUGGAUCCAGUUCUGUGCAGCUACCGAAUCGAAUCUGAAGGGACGCCAAUGCACUUGACCGGGUGAAUCCGGAGCAAAGGAGCCUAAACUUAAACAAGCGAAUAUGUUUUUAUGAUUUUUUUGUUAAAUUAUAUGUAUAUUAUGUUAUUCAAAUAAAACUCAUACAAAUCU